ensembl:ncRNA T06E4.19 ncRNA
CAUACGUGAAAUUGAAUAGUACGCUAGUAUCUGGGUGCGUGAGUAUCGAAUUGAAACUAUGGGCAUUCAAUGAGUGCAAUGAAUUGACUGUGGGUCUGCCAAUUCAUCGAUCAGAACAUCAAAA